GGGGAUUUAGCUCAGUGGUUCCAGUGGCUGCUUCGUAAGCACAAGGACCCGAGUUCGAUACCUGGAAUACCCC
rnacentral:tRNA from 1 species